rnacentral:rRNA from 1 species
CCUACGGGUGGCAGCAGUGAGGAAUAUUGGUCAAUGGGCGAGAGCCUGAACCAGCCAAGUCGCGUGAGGGAGUACUGCCCUAUGGGUUGUAAACCUCUUUUGUCGGGGAGCAAAAGCCGGACGUGUCCGGCUGUGAGAGUACCCGAAGAAAAAGCAUCGGCUAACUCCGUGCCAGCAGCCGCGGUAAUACGGAGGAUGCGAGCGUUAUCCGGAUUUAUUGGGUUUAAAGGGUGCGCAGGCGGAUGUUUAAGUCAGCGGUAAAAUCGUGGGGCUCAACCCCAUCCAGCCGUUGAAACUGGGGAUCUAGAGUGUGCGAGAGGUAUGCGGAAUGCGUGGUGUAGCGGUGAAAUGCAUAGAUAGCACGAAGAACCCCGAUUGCGAAGGCAGCAUACCGGUGCACAACUGACGCUCAGGCACGAAAGCGUGGGUAUCGAACAGGAUUAGAUACCCCGGUAGUC